AUAGGCUUAACACAUGCAAAGUCGAGGGGAAAACGGGGCAAAAGAGUGCUUGCACCCUUUGGACGUCGAACCGGCGCACGGGUGAGUAAACGCGUAUCCAACCUGCCCUUUACUUGGGGAUAACCGUUGAAAGACGGACUAAUACCCAAUGAUAUUCAUUGAUGACAUCUGAUUUGAAUUAAAGAUUUAUCGGUAUAGGAUGGGGGAUGCGUCUGAUUAGCUUGUUGGUGAGGUAACGGCUCACCAAGGCAACGAUCAGUAGGGGUUCUGAGAGGAAGGUCCCCCACAUUGGAACUGAGACACGGUCCAAACUCCUACGGGAGGCAGCAGUGAGGAAUAUUGGUCAAUGGACGAGAGUCUGAACCAGCCAAGUAGCGUGCAGGAUGACGGCCCUAUGGGUUGUAAACUGCUUUUGUUUGGGAAUAAUCGACAUUACGUGUAAUGUUUUGCAUGUACCAUUCGAAUAAGGACCGGCUAAUUCCGUGCCAGCAGCCGCGGUAAU
rnacentral:rRNA from 1 species